AGUGAACGCUGGCGGUAGGCCUAACACAUGCAAGUCGAACGGCAGCACAGUAAGAGCUUGCUCUUACGGGUGGCGAGUGGCGGACGGGUGAGGUAUACAUCGGAAUCUACUUUUUCGUGGGGGAUAACGUAGGGAAACUUACGCUAAUACCGCAUACGACCUACGGGUGAAAGCAGGGGAUCUUCGGACCUUGCGCGAUUGAAUGAGCCGAUGUCGGAUUAGCUAGUUGGCGGGGUAAAGGCCCCCCAAGGCGACGAUCCGUAGCUGGUCUGAGAGGAUGAUCAGCCACACUGGAACUGAGACACGGUCGAGACUCCUACGGGAGGAAGCAGUGGGGAAUAUUGGACAAUGGGCGAAAGCCUGAUCCAGCCAUACCGCGUGGGUGAAGAAGGCCUUCGGGUUGUAAAGCCCUUUUGUUGGGAAAGAAAAGCAGCAGGUUAAUACCGCGCUGUUCUGACGGUACCCAAAGAAUAAGCACCGGCUAACUUCGUG
rnacentral:rRNA from 1 species